rnacentral:rRNA from 1 species
GACGAACGCUGGCGGCGUGCUUAACACAUGCAAGUCGAGCGGAAAGGCCCCGUUUGGGGUACUCGAGCGGCGAACGGGUGAGUAACACGUGAGUGACCUGCCCUGCGCUUUGGGAUAACCCUCGGAAACGGGGGCUAAUACCGGAUAUUCACAUGUGGCUGCAUGGUUGUGUGUGGAAAGAUUUUUCGGCGUGGGAUGGGCUCGCGGCCUAUCAGCUUGUUGGUGGGGUGAUGGCCUACCAAGGCGGUGACGGGUAGCCGGCCUGAGAGGGCGACCGGCCACACUGGGACUGAGACACGGCCCAGACUCCUACGGGAGGCAGCAGUGGGGAAUAUUGCACAAUGGGCGGAAGCCUGAUGCAGCGACGCCGUGUGAGGGAUGACGGCCUUCGGGUUGUAAACCUCUUUCAGCAGGGACGAAGCGGGAGUGACGGUACCUGCAGAAGAAGCGCCGGCCAACUACGUGCCAGCAGCCGCGGUAAGACGUAGGGCGCGGGCGUUGUCCGGAUUUAUUGGGCGUAAAGAGCUCGUAGGCGGCUUGUCGCGUCGGCUGUGAAAACCUGUGGCUCAACUGUGGGCUUGCAGCCGAUACGGGCGGGCUAGAGUUCGGUAGGGGAGACUGGAAUUCCUGGUGUAGCGGUGAAAUGAGCAGA